AUUGAACGCUGGCGGCAGGCUUAACACAUGCAAGUCGAGCGAGCGGCGGACGGGUGGGUAAUGUCUGGGAAACUGCCUGAUGGAGGGGGAUAACUCCUGGAAACGGUAGCUAAUACCGCAUACCAUCAGAUGUGCCCCGAUGGGAUUAGCUAGGAGGUGGGGUAAUGGCUCACCUAGGCGACGAUCCCUAGCUGGUCUGAGAGGAUGACCAGCCAAACUGGAACUGAGACACGGUCCAGACUCCUACGGGAGGCAGCAGUGGGGAAUAUUGCACAAUGGGCGAAAGCCUGAUGCAGCCAUGCCGCGUGUAUGAAGAAGGCCUUCGGUUUGUAAAGUACUUUCAGCGAGGAGGCGUUACUCGCAGAAGAAGCACCGGCUAACUCCGUGCCAGCAGCCGCGGUAAUUC
rnacentral:rRNA from 1 species